rnacentral:rRNA from 1 species
UACGUAGGGUGCGAGCGUUAAUCGGAAUUACUGGGCGUAAAGCGUGCGCAGGCGGUUUUGUAAGCCAGAUGUGAAAUCCCCGGGCCUAACCUGGGAAUGGCAUUUGGGACUGCAAGGCUGGAGUGUGGCAGAGGAGACUGGAAUUCCUGGUGUAGCAGUGAAAUGCGUAGAUAUCAGGAGGAAUACCGAUGGCGAAGGCAGGUCUCUGGGCUGACACUGACGCUCAUGCACGAAAGCGUGGGGAGCAAACAGG